AAGGGAAAGGCUUAGUGGCGGACGGGUGAGUAACGCGUGGGUAACCUGGCCCAUACAGGGGGAUAACACUUAGAAAUAGGUGCUAAUACCGCAUAACAACAGAAAGCGCAUGCUUUUUGUUUGAAAACCAAGGUGGUAUGGGAUGGACCCGCGUCUGAUUAGCUGGUUGGCGGGGUAAAGGCCCACCAAGGCGACGAUCAGUAGCCGGCCUGAGAGGGUGGACGGCCACAUUGGGACUGAGACACGGCCCAAACUCCUACGGGAGGCAGCAGUGGGGAAUAUUGCACAAUGGGGGAAACCCUGAUGCAGCGACGCCGCGUGAGUGAAGAAGUAAUUCGUUAUGUAAAGCUCUAUCAGCGGGGAAGAAAAUGACGGUACCUGAGUAAGAAGCCCCGGCUAACUACGUGCCAGCAGCCGCGGUAAUACGUAGGGGGCAAGCGUUAUCCGGAUUUACUGGGUGUAAAGGGAGCGUAGACGGCAGUGCAAGUCUGGAGUGAAAGGCGGGGGCCCAACCCCCGGACUGCUUUGGAAACUGUGCUGCUGGAGUGCAGGAGAGGCAAGUGGAAUUCCUAGUGUAGCGGUGAAAUGCGUAGAUAUUAGGAGGAACACCAGUGGCGAAGGCGGCUUGCUGGACUGUAACUGACGUUGAGGCUCGAAAGCGUGGGGAGCAAACAGGAUUAGAUACCCUGGUAGU
rnacentral:rRNA from 1 species